UGAGUCAACACUUUGCAUGAGGUGGCCAAAGUACUGGAGUUUCAGCUUUAGCAUCAUACCCUCCAAAGAAAUCCCAGGGCUGAUCUCCUUCAGAAUGGACAGGUUGGAUCACCUUGCAGUCCAAGGGACUCUCAAGAGUCUUCUCCAACACCACAAUUCAAAAGCAUCAAUUCUUCGGCGCUCAGCCUUCUUCACAGUCCAACUCUCACAUCCAUACAUGACCACAGGAAAAACCAUAGCCUUGACUAGACGGACCUUAGUCGGCAAAGUAAUGUCUCUGCUUUUGAAUAUACUAUCUAGGUUGGUCAUAACUUUUCUUCCAAGGAGUAAGUGUCUUUUAAUUUCAUGGCUUCAGUCACUAUCUGCAUUGAUUUUGGAGCCCAAAAAAAUAAAGUCUGACACUGUUUCCACUAUUUCCCCAUCUAUUUCCCAUGAAGUGAUGGGACCGGAUGCCAUGAUCAUUUUCUGAAUGUUGAGCUUUAAGCCAACUUUUUCACUCUCCACUUUCACUUUCAUCAAGAGGCUUUUUAGUUGAGGUUAUUGAUAUUUCUCCCAGCAAUCUUGAUUCCAGCUUGUUUUUCUUCCAGUCCAGCGUUUCUCAUGAUGUACACUGCAUAGACGUUAAAUAAGCAGGGUAUAUACAGCCUUGACAUACUCCUUUUCCUAUUUGGAACCAGUCUGUUGUUCCAUGUACAGUUUUCACUGCUCCUUUCUGACCUGUAUACAGAUUUCUCAAGAGGCAGGUCAGGUGGUCUGCUAUUCCCAUCUCUUUCAGAAUUUUCCAGUUUUUUUUGUGAUCCACACAAUCAAAGGCUUUGGCAUAGUCAAUAAAACAGAAAUGGAUGUUUUUAUAGAACUCUCUUGCUUUUUCCAUGAUCCAGAGGAUGUUGGCAAUUUGACCUCUGGUUCCUCUGCCUUUUCUAAAACCAGCUCAAACAUCAGGAAGUUCAUGGUUCACAUAUUGCUGAAGCCUGGCUUGGAGAAUUUUGAGUAUUACUCUACUAGCUUGUGAGAUGAGUGCAAUUGUGCAGUAGUUUGAGCAUUCUUUGGCAUUACCUUUCUUUAGGAUUGGAAUGAAAAUGGACCUUUUCCAGUCCUGUGGCCACUACUGAGUUUUCCAAAUUUGCUGGCAUAUUGAGUGCAGCACUUUCACAGCAUCCUCUUUCAAGAUUUGAAAUAGCUUAAAUCUUGUAAUGCCCUAGAAUCUCCCAAUUGUCUUAAAGUCA
rnacentral:lncRNA from 1 species